rnacentral:misc_RNA from 1 species
AGAGACUGAUACAGAGCUUGUAGUGUGACAGAGAUUGUUUACGAUCUUGUGUACAGAAAAAUACAGCAAAAUACAAGGAUUGAAUGACUUGACACUUGUGACAUCCUGAAGGAAGACAUGUCCUAGCUUUGAUAACGGCAAUGAUUAAGGUGAAUGUGUGUGUUCCUCUGAUUGGAAUUCUGUGUUUCAUCACCAUUGAAACAAUUGAAGCUGCUAAAUGUUUACAAGACUGCACAACGUCCUAUGUCAAGAGGAAUCAGCAGGGCUGAUAGAUGCCGGACGCCAACAGAGAGGAGUAUGUAGUGCUUAUGCAGACUAUGAAGAUUGUAUAAGAACCUCCAUUGGAAAGUUGAGAUGUCGUCUGUUACCGUCCGAAGCAGAGCUUCACGAAACAGACAUCACCAACGUCUACACAAAAUAUCCAUACCAGUGUACCAAGACACAGAAUGGUUGGAUUGCAGCAUUGACCGCACGAUCCUCUGCCCCUGGACUUCUUCUAUCCAACCCCAUUCCCUGGUUUCUCCUUGCUAUCAGUUCCUGGCUAUGACCAGGAAAGAAUCCAUCCAGCUCCAACUUACUCCAUAUCGGUCAAACAAGUGUUUAAUUUUACUUAAUAAAAAGUUUGCUUGAUGAAAUCAU